GAUGAAGAACGUAGUGAAAUGCGAUAAGUAAUGUGAAUUGCAGAAUUCAGUGAAUCAUCGAAUCUUUGAACGCAAAUUGCGCCCGCCAGUAUUCUGGCGGGCAUGCCUGUUCGAGCGUCAUUUCAACCAUCAAGCCCCCGGCUUGUGUUGGGGACCUGCGGCUGCCGCAGGCCCUGAAAAGCAGUGGCGGGCUCGCUGUCACACCGAGCGUAGUAGCAUACAUCUCGCUCUGGGCGUGCUGCGGGUUCCGGCCGUUAAACCACCUUCAUAACCCAAGGUUGACCUCGGAUCAGGUAGGAAGACCCGCUGAACUUAAGCAUAUCAAUAAGCGGAGGA
rnacentral:misc_RNA from 1 species